rnacentral:rRNA from 1 species
UACGUAGGGCGCAAGCGUUGUCCGGAAUUAUUGGGCGUAAAGAGCUCGUAGGCGGUUUGUCGCGUCUGCUGUGAAAACCUAAGGCUCAACCUUGGGCUUGCAGUGGGUACGGGCAGACUAGAGUGCGGUAGGGGGAGACUGGAAUUCCUGGUGUAGCGGUGAAAUGCGCAGAUAUCAGGAGGGAACACCGGUGGCGAAGGGCGGGGUCUCUGGGGCAGUAAACUGACGCUGAGGAGCGAAAAGCGUGGGGGAGCGAACAGG